rnacentral:lncRNA from 1 species
AAAUAACAUUUACCCCAAUGGGAAACAGAGCUUCAUUUUCCAGCAAUGAGGUUUUUGAUCUGGACCUUGAAGUUACCUUUGGAACAGUUUCUACUGCAGGAUUACUGGGAAGAGGCUGUAAUCGAAUUGGAGGCUGCAUAUUUCCUGGAGCAGUAUAUGGUCGAGGGGCUGUCUAGACAAUUAGGGGAAAAAAUUCCAUUUAAAUUAGUAUCUUGACAUGUUUCCAGAACCAAUUAAUAACCCAAUAAAUUGCCUAGAGUAAUUAAUGGUGCCUUUUUACUGAACAGAUUAAACUUUAAUUAUGUCCUUCCAUUAUACAUACCCUUAUGACCCAAAGUAUUUGUUAAAACAUAUGGUGUUGAAGUCCUCUACAUAACUAAAUGGGCUUUGCUCAAUUUAAUGUUACGUUGAAUAAUGUUCCUAUUUUAGGGGUCUAAAAGGAUAUUAUUGGAAUGGACUCAUUUCUGUCUAAAUGUCUUCAAUAUAAACUCUACUCUGAAUC